rnacentral:rRNA from 1 species
GACGAACGCUGGCGGCGUGGAUUAGGCAUGCAAGUCGAACGGUAUCAUCCUUUCGGGGGUGAGAGAGUGGCGAACUGGUGAGUAACACGUAGGUUAUCUACCCUCAAGACGGGGACAACCCAGGGAAACUUGGGCUAAUACCGGAUGUGAGCAACUUUUAGUUGUUUGAAAGGUGGCGUAAGCUGUCGCUUGGGGAUGAGCCUGCGUCCUAUUAGUUAGUUGGUGAGGUAACGGCUCACCUAGGCAAUGAUAGGUAGGCGGCCUUAACGGGUGGUCGCCCACACUGGGAUUGAGAUACGGCCCAGACUCCUACGGGAGGCAGCAGUCGAGAAUAGUCUAACAAUGGUCGGAAGACUGAUAGUGCGACGCCGCGUGAACGAUGAACUCCCGUUCGGGGUGUAAAGUUUCUUUUAUAUGUGAGCAGUGCUUCUUAUAUUAACAGUAUGGGGAGAGAGAUAUUAGCAUAUGAAUAAGCAACGGCUAACUCCGUGCCAGCAGCCGACGGUAAUA